CAGCUCUCCGAGUGGUGUGGAUGUUUAUUGGGCCUAAAGCAUCCGUAGCUGGCCAAGUUAGUCCCCUGUUAAAUCCACCGAAUUAAUCGUUGGAGUGCGGGGGAUACUGCUCGGCUAGGGGGCGAGAGAGGCCGACGGUAUUCCCGGGGUAGGGGUGAAAUCCUAUAAUCCCGGGAAGACCACCAGUGGCGAAGGCUGUCGGCUAGAACGCGCCCGACGGUGAGGGAUGAAAGCUGGGGGAGCGAACCGGAUUAGAUACCCGCGUAGUCC
rnacentral:rRNA from 1 species